AGAACGAACGCUGGCGGCGUGGAUAAGACAUGCAAGUCGGACGGGAUUUUUUGGUAGCAAUACCGAAGGAAAUUCAGUGGCGAACGGGUGCUUAACACGUGGGCAACCUGCCAAGAAGUGGGGGAUAGCUCGCCGAAAGGCGAAUUAAUACCGUAUGUGAUCAGGGGAGACAUCUCUCCGAAAUCAAAGGUGGCGCAAGCUACCGCUUUUUGAGGGGCCCGCGGCCUAUCAGCUUGUUGGUGAGGUAACGGCUCACCAAGGCUUUGACGGGUAGCUGGUCUGAGAGGACGACCAGCCACACUGGGACUGAGACACGGCCCAGACUCCUACGGGAGGCAGCAGUGGGGAAUUUUGGACAAUGGGGGAAACCCUGAUCCAGCAAUGCCGCGUGUGUGAAGAAGGUCUUCGGAUUGUAAAGCCCUUUCGACGGGGACGAUGAUGACGGUACCCGUAGAAGAGCCCCGGCUAACUUCGUGCCAGCAGCCGC
rnacentral:rRNA from 1 species